rnacentral:rRNA from 1 species
UACGUGGGGAGCAAGCGUUGUUCGGAUUUACUGGGCGUAAAGGGCGCGUAGGCGGCCACCGCAAGUCGACUGUGAAAUCUCCGGGCUUAACUCGGAAAGGUCAGCCGAUACUGCGGGGCUAGAGUGCAGAAGGGGCAACUGGAAUUCUCGGUGUAGCGGUGAAAUGCGUAGAUAUCGAGAGGAACACCUGCGGCGAAGGCGGGUUGCUGGGCUGACACUGACGCUGAUUGUGCGAAAGCUAGGGGAGCGAACGGG